rnacentral:rRNA from 1 species
UUCCGGUGUAGCGGUGAAAUGCGUAGAGAUCGGAGAGGAACACCAGUGGCGAAGGCGGCCUUCUGGACUGACACUGACGCUGAGGUGCGAAAGCGUGGAGAGCAAACAGGAUUAGAUACCCUGGUAGUCCACGCUGUAAACGAUGUAUACCAGCCGUCGGGGUGCCUAGUGACUUUGUGGCGCAGAUAACGCGAUAAGUAGACCGCCUGGGGAGUACGGCCGCAAGGUUAAAACUCAAAAGAAUUGACGGGGGCCCGCACAAGCGGUGGAGCAUGUGGUAUAAUUCGAUGCAACGCGAAGAACCUUACCACGUCUUGACAUCCUGAGAAUUUCGCAGAGAUACCUUUGUGCCUUCGGGAGCGGAGAGACAGGUGCUGCAUGGCUGUCGUCAGCUCGUGUUGUGAGAUGUUGGGUUAAGUCCCGUAACGAGCGCAACCUUUGUCCUUAGUUGCCAGCACGUCAUGGUGGGAACUCUAGGGAGACUGCCGGUGACAAACCGGAGGAAGGUGGGGACGACGUCAAGUCAUCAUGGCCCUUACGAGUUGGGCUACACACGUGAUACAAUGGUUGGUACAGAGGGUUGCGAACUCGCGAGAGGAAGCCAAUCCCGAAAAGCCAGUCUUAGUCCGGAUCGGAGUCUGCAACUCGACUCCGUGAAGUCGGAAUCGCUAGUAAUCGUGGAUCAGAAUGCCGCGGUGAAUACGUUCCCG